UUAAGCGACUAAGCGUACACGGUGGAUGCCCUGGCAGUCAGAGGCGAUGAAGGACGUGCUAAUCUGCGAAAAGCGUCGGUAAGGUGAUAUGAACCGUUAUAACCGGCGAUGUCCGAAUGGGGAAACCCAGUGUGAUUCGUCACACUAUCGUUAACUGAAUACAUAGGUUAACGAGGCGAACCGGGGGAACUGAAACAUCUAAGUACCCCGAGGAAAAGAAAUCAACCGAGAUUCCCCCAGUAGCGGCGAGCGAACGGGGAGCAGCCCAGAGUCUGAAUCAGCUUGUGUGUUAGUGGAACGGUCUGGAAAGUCCGACGGUACAGGGUGAUAGUCCCGUACACCAAAAUGCACAGGCUGUGAACUCGAAGAGUAGGGCGGGACACGUGGUAUCCUGUCUGAAUAUGGGGGGACCAUCCUCCAAGGCUAAAUACUCCUGACUGACCGAUAGUGAACCAGUACCGUGAGGGAAAGGCGAAAAGAACCCCGGCGAGGGGAGUGAAAAAGAACCUGAAACCGUGUACGUACAAGCAGUGGGAGCACCUUCGGGUGUGACUGCGUACCUUUUGUAUAAUGGGUCAGCGACUUAUAUUCUGUAGCAAGGUUAACCGUAUAGGGGAGCCGCAGGGAAACCGAGUCUUAACUGGGCGUUAAGUUGCAGGGUAUAGACCCGAAACCCGGUGAUUCAGCCAUGGGCAGGUUGAAGGUUGGGUAACACUAACUGGAGGACCGAACCGACUAAUGUUGAAAAAUUAGCGGAUGACUUGUGGCUGGGGGUGAAAGGCCAAUCAAACCGGGAGAUAGCUGGUUCUCCCCGAAAGCUAUUUAGGUAGCGCCUCGUGAACUCAUCUUCGGGGGUAGAGCACUGUUUCGGCUAGGGGGUCAUCCCGACUUACCAACCCGAUGCAAACUACGAAUACCGAAGAAUGUUAUCACGGGAGACACACGGCGGGUGCUAACGUCCGUCGUGAAGAGGGAAACAACCCAGACCGCCAGCUAAGGUCCCAAAGUCAUGGUUAAGUGGGAAACGAUGUGGGAAGGCACAGACAGCCAGGAUGUUGGCUUAGAAGCAGCCAUCAUUUAAAGAAAGCGUAAUAGCUCACUGGUCGAGUCGGCCUGCGCGGAAGAUGUAACGGGGCUAAACCAUGCACCGAAGCUGCGGCAGCGACACUAUGUGUUGUUGGGUAGGGGAGCGUUCUGUAAGCCUGCGAAGGUGACCUGUGAGGGUUGCUGGAGGUAUCAGAAGUGCGAAUGCUGACAUAAGUAACGAUAAAGCGGGUGAAAAGCCCGCUCGCCGGAAGACCAAGGGUUCCUGUCCAACGUUAAUCGGGGCAGGGUGAGUCGACCCCUAAGGCGAGGCCGAAAGGCGUAGUCGAUGGGAAACAGGUUAAUAUUCCUGUACUUGGUGUUACUGCGAAGGGGGGACGGAGAAGGCUAUGUUAGCCGGGCGACGGUUGUCCCGGUUUAAGCAUGUAGGCUGGUUAUCCAGGCAAAUCCGGAUAAUCAAGGCUGAGGUGUGAUGACGAGGCACUACGGUGCUGAAGUAACAAAUGCCCUGCUUCCAGGAAAAGCCUCUAAGCAUCAGGUAACAUCAAAUCGUACCCCAAACCGACACAGGUGGUCAGGUAGAGAAUACCAAGGCGCUUGAGAGAACUCGGGUGAAGGAACUAGGCAAAAUGGUGCCGUAACUUCGGGAGAAGGCACGCUGGUGUGUAGGUGAAGCCCCUGCGGGUGGAGCUGAGACCAGUCGAAGAUACCAGCUGGCUGCAACUGUUUAUUAAAAACACAGCACUGUGCAAACACGAAAGUGGACGUAUACGGUGUGACGCCUGCCCGGUGCCGGAAGGUUAAUUGAUGGGGUUAUCCGUAAGGAGAAGCUCUUGAUCGAAGCCCCGGUAAACGGCGGCCGUAACUAUAACGGUCCUAAGGUAGCGAAAUUCCUUGUCGGGUAAGUUCCGACCUGCACGAAUGGCGUAAUGAUGGCGCUGUCUCCACCCGAGACUCAGUGAAAUUGAACUCGCUGUGAAGAUGCAGUGUACCCGCGGCAAGACGGAAAGACCCCGUGAACCUUUACUAUAGCUUGACACUGAACAUUGAGCCUUGAUGUGUAGGAUAGGUGGGAGGCUUUGAAGCGUGGACGCCAGUCUGCGUGGAGCCAACCUGAAAUACCACCCUUUAAUGUUUGAUGUUCUAACGUUGGCCCCUUACCGGGGUUGCGGACAGUGUCUGGUGGGUAGUUUGACUGGGGCGGUCUCCUCCCAAAGCGUAACGGAGGAGCACGAAGGUUAGCUAAUCCGGUCGGACAUCAGGAGGUUAGUGCAAUGGCAUAAGCUAGCUUGACUGCGAGCGUGACGGCGCGAGCAGGUGCGAAAGCAGGUCAUAGUGAUCCGGUGGUUCUGAAUGGAAGGGCCAUCGCUCAACGGAUAAAAGGUACUCCGGGGAUAACAGGCUGAUACCGCCCAAGAGUUCAUAUCGACGGCGGUGUUUGGCACCUCGAUGUCGGCUCAUCACAUCCUGGGGCUGAAGUAGGUCCCAAGGGUAUGGCUGUUCGCCAUUUAAAGUGGUACGCGAGCUGGGUUUAGAACGUCGUGAGACAGUUCGGUCCCUAUCUGCCGUGGGCGCUGGAGAAUUGAGGGGGGCUGCUCCUAGUACGAGAGGACCGGAGUGGACGCAUCACUGGUGUUCGGGUUGUCAUGCCAAUGGCACUGCCCGGUAGCUAAAUGCGGAAGAGAUAAGUGCUGAAAGCAUCUAAGCACGAAACUUGCCCCGAGAUGAGUUCUCCCUGAGACUUUAAGUCUCCUGAAGGAACGUUGAAGACGACGACGUUGAUAGGCCGGGUGUGUAAGCGCAGCGAUGCGUUGAGCUAACCGGUACUAAUGAACCGUGAGGCUUAACCU
rnacentral:rRNA from 1 species